rnacentral:misc_RNA from 1 species
CUGGUUCACGAUAUGUUACAUCCAAUCUUCAUUUUUUUGAAUUUUUUCAAGUUGGUGUUUACUUGAAUCAAUUGAUAUCAAAUGAAGAUCAAGUUUUGUCUAAAAUGGAAGAAAAUAUGAAGGAGAAUGGCAAAUAUUAGGGUGAUGCUGAAAAAAUGAAUAAGAUGGUUUUCAUACCAUGUGUUUUGGAUCCUCGUCACAAAUUUAGUACUCUUGGCUUUGCACUUAAGAAGAUGUUUGGAGAAAAAGGGGCUGCUAUAGAAAAUGGUGUGGGAACGUACAUGGAAGCUUUGUUUAAUGAGUAUACAAACCCCAUUUCAAAUGAUAAAAGUGGCCAAUUUUCUUCAACUGGUGUGGAUACUUCUAUUUCAAGUUCUAUAGGAGAAUUUGGAAAUUUUUUAGAGGAAUUACAUAAACAUAAAUAUGAAAAGGGAAGUGCAAGUUCAAAGUCAGAAUUAG